rnacentral:rRNA from 1 species
CACGUAGGGCGCAAGCGUUUGUCCGGAAUUAUUGGGCGUAAAGAGCUCGUAGGCGGUCUGUUACGUCUGCUGUGAAAACCCGGGGCUUAACCCUGGGCUUGCAGUGGAUACGGGCAGACUAGAGGCAGGUAGGGGAGAAUGGAAUUCCCGGUGUAGCGGUGAAAUGCGUAGAUAUCUGGAGGAACACCGGUGGCGAAGGCGGCAUCCUGGACCGGCAUUGACGCUGAGGCGCGAAAGCUAGGG